rnacentral:ncRNA from 1 species
GGAACAGGUGCCCGCAAGGGCUCAAUAGGGAAGCCGGUGAAAAUCCGGCACGGUCCCGCCACUGUAAUGCGGAGCGGCUCCAAAUACGUCACUGGGAAACCGGGAAGGCUGGAGCAGCGAGGAAGCGAAGUCAGGAGAACUGCCUGUUUA